UGGAGAAUUAGUUUUCGUGACUUUCCAGGGUUCAGAUUUUAAAUUCUUUUCGUUUUUUCCCAUAUGGCAUAGGUACUAUAUUUAUAUCUGUAUUUAAAGUUACCAUAUAGGAGUUUACCAUAGAGGCCAAGUAAUCAUGCCUGAUUAGUGCUGUGUUUAAAGUAGCAAGACAAGAAUGGCUGUAAAGCGAUAAGUGUGUGUGUGUUUUCAUUUUCAAAAGGAAGAGUGGGACAUAGAAAAAAAGCAAGGAACAUUACAUUGGAUAUGCAAGGAAACUUGUUCGGAUCAAGUAAGCAGCAUUUAUUUGGAGAGUGCAGAAAAACACAGAAGAAACAGAUCCACCAUCUGUCAUUCCCGUACCUAUCGAACAAAGUUCUGAUCAGCUGUGUAGCGAUACUGUCUAAACAAAAGCCAUAAACAUGUGAUUGACCAGCUUUUUGGUAUAAAGGCCAACAAUAAAUACUAUAUUAGUGUAAA